rnacentral:tRNA from 1 species
GGCUCGUUGGUCCAGGGGAAGGAUUCUCGCUUCCGGUGCGAGAGGUCCCGGAUUCAUUCCCGGACGAGCCC